AAUGCCCAGGUCCAGUGGUAUAAGAAGUAAAGAAAUAGGAACAACGGAAUAAAAUGGUGGUAACUGACUGGACAGCUAAAAUGGAAGCUGAAAGCUAAAACAAUCCCAGAAACCCUCAGUAGACUGCCAAUGCCUCACUGACCAGAGUGUUGUUAAAUGGCCACCCUUGCUAAAGAGAAGGUUGAGAAAGCAAGUUUCCAACUUUUCUGUUCUUAAUCUAGACGCGAGCAAGGAAGAGAAAUAACAGAAUGAAUCUUGACUCGUUAAAGUAACUGCCAUUUUCCACUUGUCAACGCUGGAUCUCAUCACAUCUGGUAGAUGGAGUGAAUUCUACCACAUUUUUUCUUCCUUUGUUUUGAAAAGAGAUUUAUUCUGAUAAAAUUCAUGCUCAUUAUAAAUAUUGAAAUAUACAAAGAAUAAAGUAAAAUACAACUGUUGGGGUGAACAUCCUUCCAGACAGCUCUCUUUGUGCACCUAUUAAAACAUUAUACAAAUGGGA